UUCCGGUUGAUCCUGCCGGAAGUUACUGCUAUCGAGGUUCGACUAAGCCAUGCGAGUCGAAUGUAGCAAUACAUGGCGAACUGCUCAGUAACACGUGGUUAACCUGCCCUAAGGUGGAGAAUACUCCCGGGAAACUGGGGCUAAUGCUCCAUAGUGGAUAUGUCCUGGAAUGGUAUAUCCUCGAAAGAUCCGUCGCCUUAGGAUGGGACUGCGUCCGAUUAGGUUGUUGGCGGGGUAGCGGCCCACCAAGCCAUUGAUCGGUACGGGUUGUGGGAGCAAGAUCCCGGAGAUGGAUUCUGAGACAUGAAUCCAGGUCCUACGGGGUGCAGCAGGCGCGAAAACUUUACAAUGCUGGCAACAGCGAUAAGGGAACCUCGAGUGCCAGGUUACAAAUCUGGCUGUCGAGAUGCCUAAAAAGCAUUUCAUAGCAAGGGCCGGGCAAGACCGGUGCCAGCUGCCGCGGUAACACCGGCGGCUCGAGUGGUAACCGUUAUUAUUGGGUCUAAAGGGUCUGUAGCCGGCCGGAUAAGUCUCUUGAGAAAUCUGGCAGCUUAACUGUCAGGCUUUCAGGAGAUACUGUCUGGCUCGAGGCCGGGAGAGGUGAGAGGUACUUCAGGGGUAGGGGUGAAAUCUUGUAAUCCUUGAAGGACCACCAGUGGCGAAGGCGUCUCACCAGAACGGACCUGACGGCAAGGGACGAAAGCUAGGGGCACGAACCGGAUUAGAUACCCGGGUAGUCCUAGCCGUAACGAUACUCGCUAGGUGUCGGCCACGGUGCGACCGUUGUCGGUGCCGUAGGGAAGCCGUGAAGCGAGCCACCUGGGAAGUACGGCCGCAAGGCUGAAACUUAAAGGAAUUGGCGGGGGAGCACCACAACGGGUGGAGCUUGCGGUUUAAUUGGAUUCAACGCCGGA
rnacentral:rRNA from 1 species